UACGUAGGGUGCGAGCGUUGUCCGGAAUUAUUGGGCGUAAAGGGCUCGUAGGCGGUUUGUCGCGUCGGGAGUGAAAAUCCAGGGCUUAACUCUGGACUGGCUUUCGAUACGGGCAGACUAGAGGUAUGCAGGGGAGAACGGAAUUCCUGGUGUAGCGGUGAAAUGCGCAGAUAUCAGGAGGAACACCGGUGGCGAAGGCGGUUCUCUGGGCAUUACCUGACGCUGAGGAGCGAAAGUGUGGGGAGCGAACGGG
rnacentral:rRNA from 1 species